GUGCCAGCCGCCGCGGUAAUACGUAGGUGGCAAGCGUUGUCCGGAUUUAUUGGGUUUAAAGGGUGCGUAGGCGGCCCUGUAAGUCAGUGGUGAAAUACGGCAGCUUAACUGUCGAGGUGCCAUUGAUACUGCAGGGCUAGAGUACUGUUGAGGUAGGCGGAAUGGACGGUGUAGCGGUGAAAUGCUUAGAUAUCGUCCAGAACACCGAUAGCGAAGGCAGCUUACUAAAGAGUAACUGACGCUGAGGCACGAAAGUGUGGGGAUCAAACAGGAUUAGAUACCCCGGUAGUCC
rnacentral:rRNA from 1 species